AAUGGAUGGUGAGGAUGAGUUGUCUUGAUUGCAAUCUGAGUGAAUUGAUCUGAUUGGUUAAUUCAAACUGGUCAAGGCAAGGGCUGCUUCCUGAUUGGCUCUCCUUAGGCUCCUUUGUAUCUAUCCACAGAUCAGUCUAGGUGCAUGGUCGUGGCUGCUCUUCCUUUACAGCAACAGCCAGCCUGUCCAUGCCCCAAAGUAACCAAUCAGCUCCACAAAGCAUCUUCUUGAUUCCCUUUGACUAGAUUCAAACCUUGGUGCCUUAUCCAUAUACUAUGCACUCUUCACAUCCUGAAUAGUGACCCAAAUAGUGAAUAGUCAACCUGAAUAGUGACUAGUGAUUCACUAUUCACUUUUACACCAACUUGCCCAAACUUCUCCAAUCUUGCUGUGGUAACUCUCCAAAGUUACUGUGGUAACUUUGGAGUUACUGUCUGACCCAAAUCUUCUCUAAAUGGUGUCUAAGUCCCUCCUGGACUUAACCCUAUCUUUGCACACUCAUCAUACCACUUCUGAAGCCUUAAGACUCUCCCAAAGCCUUAACAUACAAUCUCUGAAGAUCUUGCCAUGUCUUUGCACAAGCACCAACUCAACUCAUCACUUUUGCUUCUCCACUUCUUCUCUUCAAGUUAACACUCCCCCUCAAGCUUGACUCUAGCUGAUCCUAAGUCAAGCUUGGAACCU
rnacentral:lncRNA from 1 species